rnacentral:rRNA from 1 species
UACGAAGGGGGCUAGCGUUGCUCGGAAUUACUGGGCGUAAAGCGCACGUAGGCGGCUUUCUAAGUCGGGGGUGAAAUCCUGGAGCUCAACUCCAGAACUGCCUUCGAUACGGGCAGGCUAGAGUUCGGCAGGGGAGACUGGAAUUCCUGGUGUAGCGGUGAAAUGCGCAGAUAUCAGGAGGAACACCGGUGGCGAAGGCGGGUCUCUGGGCCGAUACUGACACUGAGGAGCGAAAGCGUGGGGAGCGAACAGG